rnacentral:misc_RNA from 1 species
CGGUCCGAUGAAGAUCGUCACUGAUCUCCUUCCGAUCUACAGAGGCGGUCUUAUACGAAGAGAUCCAGAGGCUCCGGUUUGAUUCCUCGUCAGAAGACGGAUCGUCGCGGUUGAGCUCCGAAGAUCGGUUGAAGAUCUGAUCUGAUCUUAGAUCAUGAACCGGCCUCGAGGUUCGUCAGAUCUGCGUUACUGAGCUUUUGAUGAGGUGAUGAAUGAUGAAUCCGUCAAUCCUCUAUGGAGCUAGAGAGAUGAGAGGGUGAAGAAGAGAGAAGAAGCUGAUAUGUGAUAUUAAUGUGAGUUAAGUUGAUUGAUGGAUGUAUGAGAUGUUUAUAGGGACGAUAUAGUCCUCCGUAAACAUCUUUUUCAUCCGACCUUUGCCAUGACAGGUGCGCUUGCAUGGCAGGUCACCAAAAUCCUUAAUAAAAAAAAAAAAGUUUCGUGUUGUCGAGGGGAGUUCGCACGGGGGAUUUUUUUUGCCCGGGUUCUCCCCUCUUGCGUGUGUGUCUUGCUUCUCGCUCUUCGUACACACUACCUUUGAUCUCGAUUCAUUCACGUAAAUUCUCUCAAUACCACAGGAAUAUUCUCGAUCCGGAUCUUAAGAUCAGCGGAUCUGGAGACAAGCUGGCCAAAUCUUAAUCCAACAUCCUCCAACCAAGGUACCGUGAAUUUUGAGUUUAAAUUCUCCGUUAUUCUCUUUAUUUGCAUCAUAUAACAAACCUGACACCAAAUAUUUAUUACAAUCUCGAAUCGGCCUUCCG